ACAACAAGAGCUAUCCCAUACAAAAUGUCAACAAUGCUGAGGCUGAGAAACCCUGUCUCAUACCCAUCUCAAGAGUGAAAACUGAAAUGGGAAAAGACAGCAGGAUGUGGAAAAGCCGUGGUCAGAAAGAAGUUGGGAGGCUUCCAGUACCAGACAAAAUGGAGUAAGGCACUGCAGUCUCUGCCACUGAUCACAACUAAAAAUUCUGGACAAAAUGUAACUAAGGACUCCGAAAAGUAAACAAGCAGCCAAAUUAUGGAAGGGAAUCAAAGCUUGAAGAAACUAUCUGUAUGGGUACCAGAAUCCUUUUAGCCAGGCAUAUGUCUGCCUGAAAUGGACUCAUCUUCCCAACCUCUCCUGCAACUAGGUGCAACCUACCAUGGACUAAGUUCUGCUGUGAGUUGUAGGAGGAGGUACAAUGGGGCACCUUCCUGGAACCUUCCUUACAACACUGUUGGCACAUUUCCUUUUUCUUCUUUGUCACCUCUUUAAUUCAU